rnacentral:rRNA from 1 species
UACAGAGGUCUCAAGCGUUGUUCGGAUUCAUUGGGCGUAAAGGGUGCGUAGGCGGCGCGGUAAGUCGGGUGUGAAAUCUUGGAGCUUAACUCCGAAACUGCAUUCGAUACUGCCGUGCUUGAGGACUGGAGAGGAGACUGGAAUUCCUGGUGUAGCGGUGGAAUGCGCAGAUAUUAGGAAGAACACCGGUGGCGAAGGCGGCCCACUGGUCCGGUACUGACGCUGAGGUGCGAAAGCGUGGGGAGCAAACAGG